rnacentral:tRNA from 5 species
GCCAGGAUAGCUCAGGUGGUAGAGCAAUGGAUUGAAAAUCCAUGUGUCCGCAGUUCAAGUCUGCGUCCCGGCA